rnacentral:rRNA from 1 species
GUAGGGAAUCUUCCGCAAUGGGCGAAAGCCUGACGGAGCAACGCCGCGUGAGUGAUGAAGGUCUUCGGAUCGUAAAACUCUGUUAUUAGGGAAGAACAAAUGUGUAAGUAACUAUGCACGUCUUGACGGUACCUAAUCAGAAAGCCACGGCUAACUACGUGCCAGCAGCCGCGGUAAUACGUAGGUGGCAAGCGUUAUCCGGAAUUAUUGGGCGUAAAGCGCGCGUAGGCGGUUUUUUAAGUCUGAUGUGAAAGCCCACGGCUCAACCGUGGAGGGUCAUUGGAAACUGGAAAACUUGAGUGCAGAAGAGGAAAGUGGAAUUCCAUGUGUAGCGGUGAAAUGCGCAGAGAUAUGGAGGAACACCAGUGGCGAAGGCGACUUUCUGGUCUGUAACUGACGCUGAUGUGCGAAAGCGUGGGGAUCAAACAGGAUUAGAUACCCCAGUAGUCC